rnacentral:lncRNA from 1 species
AACAUUUCAGACAGUGUGACUGAAUGAGGAAUUCUAGAUAGUUCUGUGAAGACUGGGGGAAGAAGAAAAGAGGAUGCCAGUCCUUGUUCCUAGGCCAAGACCUGAGCCCUGUAAUAUUAAUAUUUGGAUCUAAAAUCAGCCUUCCAACAGCAACAUGAAGUUGGCAGCCUUCCUCCUCCUGUGAUCCUCAUCAUCUUCAGCCUAGAGGUACAAGAGCUUCAGGCUGCAGGAGACCGGCUUUUGGGUACCUGCGUCGAGCUCUGCACAGGUGACUGGGACUGCAACCCCGGAGACCACUGUGUCAGCAAUGGGUGUGGCCAUGAGUGUGUUGCAGGAUGAAGAGUUAUCUUAAGGAUCAUCUUUCCCUAAGAUCGUCAUCCCUUCCUGGAGUUCCUAUCUUCCAAGAUGUGACUGUCUGGAGUUCCUUGACUAGGAAGAUGGAUGAAAACAGCAAGCCUGUGGAUGGAGACUACAGGGGAUAUGGGAGGCAGGGAAGAGGGGUUGUUUCUUUUAAUAAAUCAUCAUUGUUAAAAGCACUC